rnacentral:rRNA from 1 species
GAUGAACGCUGGCGGCGUGCCUAAUACAUGCAAGUAGAACGCUGAAGCUUGGUGCUUGCACCGAGCGGAUGAGUUGCGAACGGGUGAGUAACGCGUAGGUAACCUGCCUGGUAGCGGGGGAUAACUAUUGGAAACGAUAGCUAAUACCGCAUAACAGUAGAUAUUGCAUGAUAUCUGCUUGAAAGGUGCAAAUGCAUCACUACCAGAUGGACCUGCGUUGUAUUAGCUAGUUGGUGAGGUAACGGCUCAUCAAGGCGACGAUACAUAGCCGACCUGAGAGGGUGAUCGGCCACACUGGGACUGAGACACGGCCCAGACUCCUACGGGAGGCAGCAGUAGGGAAUCUUCGGCAAUAGGGGGAACCCUGACCGAGCAACGCCGCGUGAGUGAAGAAGGUUUUCGGAUCGUAAAGCUCUGUUGUAAGAGAAGAACGAGUGUGAGAGUGGAAAGUUCACACUGUGACGGUAUCUUACCAGAAAGGGACGGCUAACUACGUG